GCCCUGGCAGUCAGAGGCGAUGAAGGGCGUGCUAAUCUGCGAUAAGCGCCGGUAAGGUGAUAUGAACCGUUAUAACCGGCGAUACCCGAAUGGGGAAACCCAGUGUGAUUCGUCACACUAUCAUUAACUGAAUCCAUAGGUUAAUGAGGCGAACCGGGGGAACUGAAACAUCUAAGUACCCCGAGGAAAAGAAAUCAACCGAGAUUCCCCCAGUAGCGGCGAGCGAACGGGGAGGAGCCCAGAGCCUGAAUCAGCAUGUGUGUUAGUGGAAGCGUCUGGAAAGGCGCGCGAUACAGGGUGACAGCCCCGUACACAAAAGCGCAUGUGCUGUGAGCUCGAUGAGUAGGGCGGGACACGUGGUAUCCUGUCUGAAUAUGGGGGGACCAUCCUCCAAGGCUAAAUACUCCUGACUGACCGAUAGUGAACCAGUACCGUGAGGGAAAGGCGAAAAGAACCCCGGCGAGGGGAGUGAAAAAGAACCUGAAACCGUGUACGUACAAGCAGUGGGAGCACAGGUUUACC
rnacentral:rRNA from 1 species